GGUGUUUUCGUGUAGUUAUGUAUUAAUCCUUUAAAAGAGACAGAAUUGAUAUUAUACGGUGGCGAAUUUUACAACGGCAACAAGACAUAUGUAUAUGGUGAUCUUUAUCGCUACGAUGUAGACAAGAAUGAGUGGAAAUUAAUAUCUAGCCCUAACAGCCCACCUCCUCGUAGUGCUCAUCAGGCUGUUGCUUGGAAGAACUAUCUUUAUAUAUAUGGUGGUGAAUUUACCUCUCCUAAUCAAGAGCGUUUCCACCACUACAAGGACUUCUGGAUGUUGGACUUGAAAACCAAUCAAUGGGAACAACUAAAUUAUAAGGGAUGUCCUAGUCCUCGCUCAGGUCAUCAAAUGGUACGUUUUUAUGUUCUCUGUUUACCUGAAUAUUCAUUGCA